rnacentral:rRNA from 1 species
AGCAGCCGCGGUAAUUCCAGCUCCAAUAGCGUAUAUUAAAGUUGUUGCAGUUAAAAAGCUCGUAGUUGAAUUUCGAGACCGGCUUACUGGUCGUGCUAUUGUACGUACUGGUAUAAUCGGUUUCUCCUUUCUGACGAACUAUAAUGCCAUUAAUUUGGUGUUUUAGGGAAUCAGGACUGUUACUUUGAAAAAAUUAGAGUGUUUAAAGCAGGCUCACGCUUGAAUACAUUAGCAUGGAAUAACGGAAUAGGACGUUUGAUUCUAUUUUGUUGGUUUCUUAGGAUCGACGUAAUGAUUAAUAGGGAUAGUUGGGGGCAUUAGUAUUCAAUUGUCAGAGGUGAAAUUCUUGGAUUUAUUGAAGACUAACUACUGCGAAAGCAUUUGCCAAGGAUGUUUUCAUUAAUCAAGAACGAAAGUUAGGGGAUCGAAGACGAUCAGAUACCGUCGUAGUCUUAACCAUAAACUAUGCCGACUAGGGAUCGGAUGAUGUUAAUUUUUAAUGACUCAUUCGGCGCCUUAC